GUGCCAGCUACUGAAGCAAAAAAAAGGACCUGAUACACAUUGUAAUCAUGGACUGCUGAUAUACCUGAUGCAUUUCUUCAUGAUGGUCGAUUUCCUUUCACCGGAUCUUACAUGUUUAAUUAUGUGUGCUCGGAACCAAAAACUGAUUGAGAUCUUCAGUUCUUACUUGCAGAUGUUCUGUUAUUCAGAGUAAUUCAGUUUCCAGUCUCUGUUUAUUAAUCAAAUUAUGGGUUAUUUUCAACCAUAUAGGCUUUUAUUAUAUGUUCAGUUAUGCUUCCAUGGGUUUUGCAUAUGUAUUAACAAAACAACCAGACUGCUAUUCUGUAUAUACUUGGAUCAAAGGGUGUACAAUUAAUUUAAUCUUACGAAAGGAAUGAGUAGGCAGCUAGCAAAAUGGGAGGACAAUCAUGACAAGCGAAGGAACACAUAAAUAGUAAUCCCACAAUUUUUACAACUGCAUUCCACUUUAAUUUGGUAUGGACAUGCAUUUUUAUCCUUGGAGUACUUUGGAUUUUAAGUGGGAAUCAUUGGUUCUUUUCUUCUUAAUAUUUUACUUCUUAUAAUUACAAAUACCAAUUUUAGAGAAUUGAGCUCGUACUUAAAAUUCAAUUGAGUAUGAAGCCACUGCCCAUUGUGUGAAAGAAACAAUUAUAACAUUGUACUCUAACAAAUCACACAUAUAGAGAAAUGUUAUUUUCGAGUCUCCUUAACCUACUGAUCUUUUUUUAGAUAUAUGAAACUUGCAUUUGUUUUCUUAAUUCUUCUGCAAUGCAGGUGAUAUUCCUAAUGGUUGCUGCUGACGCUUAAAAAAUUACUCCUGAAGCACUAGAAGUGCCCUCUCUAUGGCGCAUCACUCACUGGAUCCAGAUGGGCAACAUUCCGCUUCAAGAUUAAAGAGUACAGUUUUUGCAUGCUAUCAUUGCUUAUCCAAGAGUAAUCUACCAUGUGCCUAAUAUAUAUACAUGAUUGUUGCACCAUCACAAGAUUUCCAUUAUAUACAUGGGCAUAACUUUCUUUACUGUGAAUUAAUCGACACGAUGCUUCUGUUUUAAGGAAUGGCAAUGCUAAAUUCUACAGUGGUACUCUCUACUCUGUCGAAUGUUUACAAACACCACAAAGCUAGAGAUCUAUUGUGGAAACCUUUCUUUCUUUUGUUUGUUAUAACUUCUUAGUGUAAAAAUAAAUAUGGCUUGUCCAUUAGGAAACAAAUAUGUAAGAUUUAUUACUUUUCAAAGUUGAAUUGUUCCUGACAAUUACACAUGAGAGUGCAUAUAAUUCAGUUGUGCUGACUUGCUGUUUCUAAAAUGAUAAGCUGGAGUUGGAGUUACAUAUGAGAGUAGAGAUAAUUUAGUUGUGCUCCUGACUUGAUUAACAAAAGCUGCAGAAGAAAGGGACAAAAUACCAAAAAGCUGAAAAUUUGAAGAAAGGUGGAAGUAGGGAACUACACAACUUGAUUCAAGGUUACGAAGGGACAAAGGGCAUUGAUUGAGCAGGAGAAAACAAUAAUGGGCCGAGGCAAGGAUAUAGUGCUCAGUUAGUAAAGAGAUAUGUGGGAAGUGGAGCAGCGGGAUGCAAAUGGAAUUUUUGUGACUCACUGAAG
rnacentral:lncRNA from 1 species